ensembl:lncRNA
UGUCGGUGGAUUUCCUGACUGAUCUUCCUCCUUCACAGGGUAACACCACGAUCCUGGUUGUUGUGGAUCAUUUUUCUAAGUCCUGUCAUCUCCUCCCGUUGCCCGGUCUCCCUUCGGCCCUACAGACUGCGGAGGCUCUAUUUACACACGUCUUCCGGCACUACGGGGUGCCUGAGGAUAUAGUGUCUGAUCGGGGGCCCCAGUUCACGUCGAGGGUCUGGAAGGUGUUCAUGGAACGUCUGGGGGUCUCGGUCGGCCUUACCUCAGGUUUUCACCCCGAGAGUAACGGGCAGAUGGAGAGAGUUAACCAGGAUGUGGUGUGUACUGGGGUAUCAGCCGGUUCUGGCUCCGUGGCAUCAGAGUCAGACAAGGCUCCUGCGGUGGACGACUGGUUCCGGCGUGUGGAGGAUACAUGUCCACCUUCAGCACGCCAUACUGCGCCAGAAAGUGCACGCAGACCGUCACCGCAGUGAGGAUCGAAACCAGCCCCUCCUCCUGCCCUGCCGGAAGCUGGAUCCGCGUCUGAGGUACGGGAGGUUCUUCCGCCCCCUCUGGACAUCGAGGGUGACCCGGUGUACUUUGUUCGUUCCAUACUGGAUUUGGGACGUCGGGCAAGGGGCCUUCAGUACCUCGUGGACUGGGAGGUGUACGGUCCGGAGGAGAGAUGCUGGGUUCCAGUGGAGGACGUGUUGGAUCCUUCUAUGCUGCGAGAUUUCCACCGUCUCCAUCCGGAUCGCCCUACGCCUCGCCCUCCGGGUCGUCCCCGAGGUCGG